ensembl:lncRNA
CUUAGCUUUUCCUACUUUUCUCUUAGUAACCACCAUCCUGCCUUUUACAGAGUACAUGUCAUUGGGACAAUGGGAAGAAACUAACCUACAGAAAGUCUGGAAAAGUUAUAUGUUGUUCCAGUAAAGUUUAAGAGUUUGGUAUGGACUUGAGAUUCGGGAGUGGUGGAAGGAUGCAAAAUGGCCAUCUACAGACUGGAGAGCCAGAGGAGCCUGUCAAAAGUUGAAGGCCUGGAGCUCACUGCAGAGUUCAGUGGAAGUCCAUUUUGGAAAGCCAAAGUGUCUGCAUUGGAAGGCUGAAGAGUCUACUCUGCAAGUCUGAAAGAACUGGAGACAAUGGUGCAAAGGUGAUGAUGAAGACGUGAGCUCCUCCAAAGAAGUGAGAGGGGCUCAAACUCGGGACUUCACUCUUGCCAGGUAGGUGGCAGAACCACUGAGCUAAAUCCCCCGGCUCUCACACUGGUAAAUUUUAUGCUCAAACCUUACAAUUUCUCAGUCUUCCUGCAAAACAACAACAAAAAAUAGCUACCAGGAAUGUGGAAAAAUAAGGAAUGUUUCUUCACUUCUCUGAGUAACAUUUUCCUCUUAGUAUACCAUAAGAAUUAGUUAAUUGAUCUGACCUUCAAAGGUAAUAUCUC